rnacentral:rRNA from 1 species
UGGAAAGAUUUAUCGGUCUUGGAUGGACUCGCAGCCUAUCAGCUUGUUGGUGAGGUAAUGGCUCACCAAGGCGACGACGGGUAGCCGGCCUGAGAGGGUGACCGGCCACACUGGGACUGAGACACGGCCCAGACUCCUACGGGAGGCAGCAGUGGGGAAUAUUGCACAAUGGGCGCAAGCCUGAUGCAGCGACGCCGCGUGAGGGAUGACGGCCUUCGGGUUGUAAACCUCUUUCAGUAGGGAAGAAGCCUUCGGGUGACGGUACCUGCAGAAGAAGCGCCGGCUAACUACGUGCCAGCAGCCGCGGUAAUACGUAGGGCGCGAGCGUUAUCCGGAAUUAUUGGGCGUAAAGAGCUCGUAGGCGGUUUGUCGCGUCUGCUGUGAAAGCCCGGGGCUUAACUCCGGGUGUGUAGUGGGUACGGGCAGACUAGAGUGCAGUAGGGGAGACUGGAAUGCCUGGUGUAGCGGUGAAAUGCGCAGAUAUCAGGAGGAACACCGAUGGCGAAGGCAGGUCUCUGGGCUGUUACUGACGCUGAGGAGCGAAAGCAUGGGGAGCGAACAGGAUUAGAUACCCUGGUAGUCCAUGCCGUAAACGUUGGGCACUAGGUGUGGGGGACAUUCCACGUUUUCCGCGCCGUAGCUAACGCAUUAAGUGCCCCGCCUGGGGAGUACGGCCGCAAGGCUAAAACUCAAAGGAAUUGACGGGGGCCCGCACAAGCGGCGGAGCAUGCGGAUUAAUUCGAUGCAACGCGAAGAACCUUACCAAGGCUUGACAUGUGCCAGACCGCCAUAGAGAUAUGGUUUCCCUUUUGGGCUGGUUCACAGGUGGUGCAUGGUUGUCGUCAGCUCGUGUCGUGAGAUGUUGGGUUAAGUCCCGCAACGAGCGCAACCCUCGUUCCAUGUUGCCAGCGGGUUAUGCCGGGGACUCAUGGGAGACUGCCGGGGUCAACUCGGAGGAAGGUGGGGACGACGUCAAAUCAUCAUGCCCCUUAUGUCUUGGGCUUCACGCAUGCUACAAUGGCCGGUACAAUGGGUUGCGAUACUGUGAGGUUGAGCUAAUCCCAAAAAGCCGGUCUCAGUUCGGAUUGGGGUCUGCAACUCGACCCCAUGAAGUCGGAGUCGCUAGUAAUCGCAGA